UUUUAUGGAGAGUUUGAUCCUGGCUCAGGAUGAACGCUGGCGGCGUGCCUAAUACAUGCAAGUCGAGCGAACGGACGAGAAGCUUGCUUCUCUGAUGUUAGCGGCGGACGGGUGAGUAACACGUGGAUAACCUCCCUAUAAGUCUGGGAUAACUUCGGGAAACCGGAGCUAAAACCGGAUAAUCUUUUGAACCGCCCUGGUUUAAAAAGGAAAGA
rnacentral:rRNA from 1 species